rnacentral:rRNA from 1 species
CUACUCGACUACCUACGGGAGGCAGCAGUGGGAAUCUCACAUGGGCGCAAGCCUGAUGGAGCAACACCGCGUGAGUGUAAGAAGGGUUUCGGCUCGUAAAGCUCUGUUGUUAAAGAAGAACACGUAUGAGAGUAACUGUUCAUACGUUGACGGUAUUUAACCAGAAAGUCACGGCUAACUACGUGCCAGCAGCCGCGGUAAUACGUAGGUGGCAAGCGUUAUCCGGAUUUAUUGGGCGUAAAGAGAGUGCAGGCGGUUUUCUAAGUCUGAUGUGAAAGCCUUCGGCUUAACCGGAGAAGUGCAUCGGAAACUGGAUAACUUGAGUGCAGAAGAGGGUAGUGGAACUCCAUGUGUAGCGGUGGAAUGCGUAGAUAUAUGGAAGAACACCAGUGGCGAAGGCGGCUACCUGGUCUGCAACUGACGCUGAGACUCGAAAGCAUGGGUAGCGAACAGGAUUAGACUACCCUGGUAG